rfam:Lachnospiraceae bacterium 28-4 genomic scaffold acPFn-supercont1.1, whole genome shotgun sequence.
UUGCGUACAAUCAGCCAUUUCACUUAUGAAAUGGUCAAUAACCAGAGAAAAUUGCCACGGAGGGCAAUUUUAGGAAGCAUAGGCAUGGAUGCCGUCGCUUCCGGCUCGUCCGGUUAGAUACCAUAAUCCAUUUCAUUAGUGAAAUCUGAUUGGAAGCUC